GAUGAACGCUGGCGGCGUGCCUAAUACAUGCAAGUCGAGCGAACAGACGAGGAGCUUGCUCCUCUGACGUUAGCGGCGGACGGGUGAGUAACACGUGGAUAACCUACCUAUAAGACUGGGAUAACUUCGGGAAACCGGAGCUAAUACCGGAUAACAUGUUGAACCGCAUGGUUCAACAGUGAAAGACGGUUUUGCUGUCACUUAUAGAUGGAUCCGCGUCGCAUUAGCUAGUUGGUAAGGUAACGGCUUACCAAGGCAACGAUGCGUAGCCGACCUGAGAGGGUGAUCGGCCACACUGGAACUGAGACACGGUCCAGACUCCUACGGGAGGCAGCAGUAGGGAAUCUUCCGCAAUGGGCGAAAGCCUGACGGAGCAACGCCGCGUGAGUGAAGAAGGUCUUCGGAUCGUAAAACUCUGUUAUUAGGGAAGAACAAAUGUGUAAGUAACGAUGCACGUCUUGACGGUACCUAAUCAGAAAGCCACGGCUAACUACGU
rnacentral:rRNA from 1 species